UCCGAAUGGGGAAACCCAGUGUGUUUCGACACACUAUCAUUAACUGAAUCCAUAGGUUAAUGAGGCGAACCGGGGGAACUGAAACAUCUAAGUACCCCGAGGAAAAGAAAUCAACCGAGAUUCCCCCAGUAGCGGCGAGCGAACGGGGAGGAGCCCAGAGCCUGAAUCAGUGUGUGUGUUAGUGGAAGCGUCUGGAAAGGCGCGCGAUACAGGGUGACAGCCCCGUACACAAAAAUGCACAUGCUGUGAGCUCGAUGAGUAGGGCGGGACACGUGGUAUCCUGUCUGAAUAUGGGGGGACCAUCCUCCAAGGCUAAAUACUCCUGACUGACCGAUAGUGAACCAGUACCGUGAGGGAAAGGCGAAAAGAACCCCGGCGAGGGGAGUGAAAAAGAACCUGAAACCGUGUACGUACAAGCAGUGGGAGCCUCUUAAUGGGGUGACUGCGUACCUUUUGUAUAAUGGGUCAGCGACUUAUAUUCUGUAGCAAGGUUAACCGAAUAGGGGAGCCGAAGGGAAACCGAGUCUUAACUGGGCGUUAAGUUGCAGGGUAUAGACCCGAAACCCGGUGAUCUAGCCAUGGGCAGGUUGAAGGUUGGGUAACACUAACUGGAGGACCGAACCGACUAAUGUUGAAAAAUUAGCGGAUGACUUGUGGCUGGGGGUGAAAGGCCAAUCAAACCGGGAGAUAGCUGGUUCUCCCCGAAAGCUAUUUAGGUAGCGCCUCGUGAAUUCAUCUCCGGGGGUAGAGCACUGUUUCGGCAAGGGGGUCAUCCCGACUUACCAACCCGAUGCAAACUGCGAAUACCGGAGAAUGUUAUCACGGGAGACACACGGCGGGUGCUAACGUCCGUCGUGAAGAGGGAAACAACCCAGACCGCCAGCUAAGGUCCCAAAGUCAUGGUUAAGUGGGAAACGAUGUGGGAAGGCCCAGACAGCCAGGAUGUUGGCUUAGAAGCAGCCAUCAUUUAAAGAAAGCGUAAUAGCUCACUGGUCGAGUCGGCCUGCGCGGAAGAUGUAACGGGGCUAAACCAUGCACCGAAGCUGCGGCAGCGACACUAUGUGUUGUUGGGUAGGGGAGCGUUCUGUAAGCCUGUGAAGGUGGCCUGUGAGGGUUGCUGGAGGUAUCAGAAGUGCGAAUGCUGACAUAAGUAACGAUAAAGCGGGUGAAAAGCCCGCUCGCCGGAAGACCAAGGGUUCCUGUCCAACGUUAAUCGGGGCAGGGUGAGUCGACCCCUAAGGCGAGGCCGAAAGGCGUAGUCGAUGGGAAACAGGUUAAUAUUCCUGUACUUGGUGUUACUGCGAAGGGGGGACGGAGAAGGCUAUGUUGGCCGGGCGACGGUUGUCCCGGUUUAAGCGUGUAGGCUGGUUUUCCAGGCAAAUCCGGAAAACCAAGGCUGAGGCGUGAUGACGAGGCACUACGGUGCUGAAGUGACAAAUGCCCUGCUUCCAGGAAAAGCCUCUAAGCAUCAGGUAACAUCAAAUCGUACCCCAAACCGACACAGGUGGUCAGGUAGAGAAUACCAAGGCGCUUGAGAGAACUCGGGUGAAGGAACUAGGCAAAAUGGUGCCGUAACUUCGGGAGAAGGCACGCUGAUA
rnacentral:rRNA from 1 species